rnacentral:rRNA from 1 species
UUGAACGCUGGCGGAAUGCUUUACACAUGCAAGUCGAGCGGCAGCGCGGGGGCAACCCUGGCGGCGAGCGGCGAACGGGUGAGUAACAUAUCGGAACGUACCCAGACGUGGGGGAUAACACAUCGAAAGAUGUGCUAAUACCGCAUACGACCUGAGGGUGAAAGGGGGGGAUCGCAAGACCUCUCGCGUUUGGAGCGGCCGAUAUCGGAUUAGCUAGUUGGUGAGGUAAAGGCUCACCAAGGCGACGAUCCGUAGCUGGUCUGAGAGGACGACCAGCCACACUGGAACUGAGACACGGUCCAGACUCCUACGGGAGGCAGCAGUGGGGAAUUUUGGACAAUGGGGGCAACCCUGAUCCAGCCAUUCCGCGUGAGUGAAGAAGGCCUUCGGGUUGUAAAACUCUUUCGGCAGGAACGAAACGGUAGUCUCUAACAUAGGCUGCUAAUGACGGUACCAGCAGAAGAAGCACCGGCUAACUACGU